AACGUAGGGGACAAGCGUUAUCCGGAUUUACUGGGCGUAAAGCGCCCGUAGGCGGCCUGACAAGUUGGACGUGAAAGCUCCUGGCUUAACUGGGAGAGGCCGUUCAAAACUGUCAAGCUAGAGUCCGGAAGAGGAGAGCGGAAUUCCUGGUGUAGCGGUGAAAUGCGCAGAUAUCAGGAAGAACACCCGUGGCGAAGGCGGCUCUCUGGGACGGUACUGACGCUGAGACGCGAAAGCGUGGGGAGCGAACAGG
rnacentral:rRNA from 1 species